UACGUAGGGUGCGAGCGUUGUCCGGAAUUAUUGGGCGUAAAGAGCUUGUAGGCGGUUUGUCGCGUCUGCUGUGAAAAUCCGGGGCUCAACCCCGGACUUGCAGUGGGUACGGGCAGACUGGAGUGUGGUAGGGGAGACUGGAAUUCCUGGUGUAGCGGUGGAAUGCGCAGAUAUCAGGAGGAACACCGAUGGCGAAGGCAGGUCUCUGGGCCACUACUGACGCUGAGAAGCGAAAGCGUGGGGAGCGAACAGG
rnacentral:rRNA from 1 species